AUUGAACGCUGGCGGCAGGCCUAACACAUGCAAGUCGAGCGAGCGGCGGACGGGUGAGUAAUGUCUGGGAAACUGCCUGAUGGAGGGGGAUAACUACUGGAAACGGUAGCUAAUACCGCAUAACAUCACAUGUGCCCAGAUGGGAUUAGCUAGUAGGUGGGGUAACGGCUCACCUAGGCGACGAUCCCUAGCUGGUCUGAGAGGAUGACCAGCCACACUGGAACUGAGACACUGUCCAGACUCCUACGGGAGGCAGCAGUGGGGAAUAUUGCACAAGGGGCGCAAGCCUGAUGCAGCCAUGCCGCGUGUGUGAAGAAGGCCUUCGGGUUGUAAAGCACGGUAAGCGGGGAGGCGUUACCCGCAGAAGAAGCACCGGCUAACUCCGUGCCAGCCGCCGCGGUAAUUC
rnacentral:rRNA from 1 species